UACGGAGGAUGCAAGCGUUAUCCGGAAUGAUUGGGCGUAAAGCGUCCGCAGGUGGCUGUGUAAGUCUGCUGUUAAAGAGUGAGGCUCAACCUCAUAAAGGCAGUGGAAACUACAUGGCUAGAGUGCGUUCGGGGCAGAGGGAAUUCCUGGUGUAGCGGUGAAAUGCGUAGAGAUCAGGAAGAACACCGGUGGCGAAAGCGCUCUGCUAGGCCGUAACUGACACUGAGGGACGAAAGCUAGGGGAGCGAAUGGG
rnacentral:rRNA from 1 species